GCUCAAAACUGCUAGUUUUCCUCCUCCUUCUGUUCUUCAAGUUUGAGUUGUGAAGAGAGGAGAGAAAACAUCUGUAAGGGUUGUCUCCUAAGCCCGUCAAAAGGAGUGAAUUUGUAAGAGGGUAGUUGGCCUUCGCCUAUUGAAGGAAGGCCUCUAGUUGACGUCGGUAACCUCAUCGGUGGAGGAAGCCAAAAGUGGAGUAGGUCAAGACUGACCGAACCACUCUAAAUCUCUGGUUUGCGUUUAUUUUGAGCACUUUAUCAUUACUGCAAACCUCCUACAUAGCUACUGCCCUCUGCGCUUUUACGAACGAGUUCUGUGUAGUUUACGUUCACGUCUUAAUUCCAUUUACAAACUGCAAACUGCUCUCUGCGCUUUUACGAACGAAUUCUGUGCAGUUUACGUUUACGUCUUGAUUCCAUCUACAAACUGCAAACUGUCUCUCUGCGCUUUUAUGAAUGAGUUCUGUGCAGUUUACGUUUACGUCUUGAUUUCACUUACAACUGCAAACUGUCUUCUGCGCUUUUUUACGAACAAGGUUCUGUGCAGUUUAAGUUUACGUCUUGAU
rnacentral:lncRNA from 1 species